UGAAUUUGAGCAACACAAACAGAUGGGCAUGGAAGAGUUAAAUACUGACACUCAGCAAAGCAAAAAGGGGAUGAAGCUGCAGAUGUAAAGCUAAGUGAAUUCAGGAUUUAAGUCACAAAAUUAAGGGAAUAAAGUGGUUAAGGGCUCAUGUGUAGACCCUGCUCAUGCUUGGAAGAUUGGAUGUGACAGAGAGGAGAACGGG